AUAGGAUUUGAAUUCAAUAAUAAUC
rnacentral:miRNA from 1 species